GACGAACGCUGGCGGCGUGCUUAACACAUGCAAGUCGAACGAAGUGGCGAACGGGUGAGUAACGCGUAAUCAACCUGCCCUUCAGGGGGGGACAACAGUUGGAAACGACUGAUAAUACCGCAUACUGAAGGAGGGGAUUGCGUUGGAUAAGCUAGUUGGAGGGGUAAGGGCCCAACAAGGCGAUGAUCAGUAGCCUGUCUGAGAGGAUUAACGGCCAAAUUGGGACUGGGACACGGCCCAGACUCCUACGGGAGGCAGCAGUGGGGAAUCUUCCGCAAUGGACGAAAGUCUGACGGAGCAACGCCGCGGUAGGGAUGACGGCCUUCGGGUUGUAAAGCUCUUUUAAUCGGGACGCGGUACCGGAAUAGAAAGCCACGGCUAACUACGUGCCAGCAGCCGCGGUAAUUC
rnacentral:rRNA from 1 species